UACCGAGGUCCCGAGCGUUGUUCGGAUUCAUUGGGCGUAAAGGGUGCGUAGGCGGCGGGGCAAGUCUGAUGUGAAAUCCCGGGGCUCAACCCCGGAACUGCAUUGGAUACUGCCUUGCUUGAGUACUGGAGAGGGAACUGGAAUUUACGGUGUAGCAGUGAAAUGCGUAGAGAUCGUAAGGAAGGCCAGUGGCGAAGGCGAGUUCCUGGACAGUGACUGACGCUGAGGCACGAAGGCCAGGGGAGCAAACGGG
rnacentral:rRNA from 1 species